AUCUCACCCAAAACAGCGUAUAAUAUCUCGCUCUCACCCAAACCACGACAUUAGUAUCUCCCUCACACCCAAACAGUGCCCGUAUCCCUCACCCAAAACUUUCUGCAUAGCCAACCGCCGCACAGCCCCAACAUAAAGUGCCCAACGACCAUGGUGGUUGUAAGAGUGUCCUCUUUGCUUCACACAAUAGCCAAAUCAGGCACAUAAUCGAGAUGGGACGUUGCUCUUAAAGACUUCCUCCAACACAUCCCAUAAGGUUGGCUCUUUCUCUCAACUUUUCAGUGUUCUACUUUGAGAUCCUCAAUUCUGCUGAUAAAGCUUGUAGCAUGGCUAAACAGGUAAAAUAUUUCUGUUUCAUUCUAAAGUUUUUAUGGUUGAAGUAUUUUUCAUUUUUGGUAAUGAUAAUAACCCCACAUGAACUUGUUUUCGUUUCACCCCCCACUUAUCUUAAUGUGGAUGAUACUAUUGAGUGUAGCUCUUAUAUAUUGAUGCUAGAAGGAUUGUGCUUUCUAUUGUAGAUUUGUACCUCUAAAUAAUGUUUAUGGAGUUUUUGCAGUUUGCAUUGGAUUCUAUGUAGGAGCUUGCCAAAGUUUUUGAUUUUAUUAUUUGAUCACAAAAGAUGGACUUGUUAUCAUUGAUGCUAUUUAUAUUUGUCUACUACUCUUGUAGUCCUAUAUUAAGUGGUGAAGUAGGUAAAUAUUUUGCAGAGUUGAAUUAGUGAUACUGAGUGUAGAAAGUUUCCCUUUGAGGCCUUCGUGGAUUAAGUGUAAAACGGAGGAAAUAGUGAGUUAGAAAAUUUACGGAAAUUUUAUAGACUUUGAUUGAUAGUGAAAGAGGAGGAUAAAGUAUAGUAAUCUUUUAUCCUUCUAGAAAAUCUUGGCUUGCUCAUUUUUCAUCCCACCAAUGCCAAUCAUUACUACUAUCUUCACCACCUCCAUCCUCAUACCCACCCCCAAGGUGUAGAAAAUAAGAAACAAAGUAACCCACAAAAAGUACCCCAAGGUGUAGAGAAGAACAGGGAUUUGAUGCACUUGGACGCAAAUCUACAGCCUAUUUCGGCUAGAAAGAUGUGGAGUAUUUUGGACUGUUCUGUCGUCAAGCUUAGAAUCGAUCUUAAGGGGUAUAGUUUAAUUUGUUCAUGUGGCAUUCAUGUGCGCUAAAACUUUUGUGAUUUCUUCGAGUUUGCUAUCUGCUAUUUAUCUUCACAUUCUUGUACAGCUGGUAUAUUGUACAGCUGGUAUGUGUUUCGGACUUUGAUUGUGAUGCAUUGGUGUUCUGCUGUCAUCCGCUUGCUGUUAAUGCCUUCUGCUCUGCUGCUGCUUCCAUCUGACGCAGCUGCUACCGUAGCUGCUGCUGCUGUUGAUGGUGCUGUCAUUGCUACUGCUGCCGUUGAUGUUACUGCUGCUGCCGUUGCUGCUGUGUGCCAUCUGAAGCUGAUGCGUGCGUGUACUAAUGUUCUAAGGCUUGGUUGAUUCCUCUAGUUAGACAUGGGUGGAGUGUACUAAUGUUCUAAGAAGCUGUGUACUAAUGUUCUUGCUUUCUGUUUUUUUCAAAGACAUACCUUAGAAUAUCAAAUUCAAAAAAUUAAUACAGCAGAAUCCAAAUAGGAGGACCAAGGCCA